ACACGUAUGAAAGACAAGCUGAAAGACUUUUCUCAAUGAUGUAAGUGGUGGUGCAUGGUCGUUCUUAGUUCGUGGAUUGAUUUGUCUGGUCUAUUCCGAUAACGAGCGAGACCCCUACGUUCCUAAUAGGGGCGUCAGCCCGGCUUGUUCCCGCAAGGGAGCCUGCCAGCCGAUGCCUUAGAACUAGCUUCUUAGACGUAUCAGAGCCGAUAAGGUUCUUGAAAUGGGUUAAUAACAGGUCAGUCAUGCCCUUAGAUGUUCUGGGCCGCACGCGCGUUACAAUGGCAUGUAAAGAAAGUGCUCAUAAGGGCAUAUCCGCGGCCUAACGGUCGCGGUAACCCUUAAUCCCUGCCUUGACUGGGAUAGACUAUUGCAAUUAUUGGUCUUAAACGAGGAAUUUUUAGUAGUCGCAGGUCAUUAACCUGCGACGA
rnacentral:rRNA from 1 species